CUCAAAAACUUAGUCUCAGUUCGGAUUGUAGGCUGAAACUCGCCUACAUGAAGCUGGAGUUGCUAGUAAUCGCGAAUCAGCAUGUCGCGGUGAAUACGUUCCCGGGCCUUGUACACACCGCCCGUCACACCAUGAGAGUUGGCAAUACCCAACGUACGUGAUCUAACCCGCAAGGGGGGGAAGCGUCCUAAGGUAGGGUCAGCGAUUGGGGUGAAGUCGUAACAAGGUACC
rnacentral:rRNA from 1 species